GCCUGUAAGACUGGGAUAACUCCGGGAAACCGGGGCUAAUACCGGAUAGUUCUUUUCCUCGCAUGAGGAAAAGUGGAAAGGCGGCUUCGGCUGCCACUUACAGAUGGACCCGCGGCGCAUUAGCUAGUUGGUGAGGUAACGGCUCACCAAGGCAACGAUGCGUAGCCGACCUGAGAGGGUGAUCGGCCACACUGGGACUGAGACACGGCCCAGACUCCUACGGGAGGCAGC
rnacentral:rRNA from 1 species